rnacentral:lncRNA from 1 species
AUGGGAUACCGGAGUCCCCCAUACCCAAAUCCCAAAUAUCCCCAAAACCCCAAAAAUUCCCAAAUUUCCCACGGAACACCCGAGUCCCCCAUUCUCAAAAACCCCAAAAUUCCCGAAUUUCCUGAAUUUCCCAUGGGAUACCCGAGUCCCCCAUUCCCAAAAAUACCAAAAUUCCCAAAAACUCCAAAAUUCCCAUGGAAUACCAGAGUCCCUCAUUCCCAAAUGCCAAAUAUCCCAAAAUUCCCAAACUUCCCAUGGAAUACCAGAGUCCCCCAUUCCCAAAAACCCCAAAAAUUCCCCAAAUUCCCAAAUUUGCCAUGGAAUACCCGAGUCCUCCCGUUCCCAAAAACCCCAAAAUUCCCAAAUUUCCCAUGGGAUAGCCGAGUCUCCAAUUCCCAAAUAUCCCAAAAAUUCCCAAAAUUCCCNAGGGUUGGGGACACUGGGCUGAAUUCCCAAAUCCCGGGACUGGAUCCAAAAUCCGGGGCUGGAUCCCAAAUCCUGGGGCCAGAUCCCAAUUCCGGGGCUGGAUCCCAAAUCCUGGGGCCGGAUCCCAAUUCUGGGGCUGGAUCCCAAUCCUGGGGCUGGAUCCCAAAUCCCGGGGCUGGAUCCCAACUCCCGUGCCCAGAUUCCAACUCCCAGCCCUGGAUCCCAAUUCCCAGCCCGGGAUCCCAACUCCCAUGCCCAGAUCCCAAUUCCCAGCCCUGGACCCAAUUUCUCACCCAGAUCCCCAUUCCCGUGCCCGGAUCCCAAUUCCCAACUCUUGAUCCCAACACCUGGAUCCCCAUUCCCAUGUCCAGAUCCCAAUUCCCAUCCCCAGAUCCCAAUUCCCGUGCCCAGAUCCCAACUCCUGUGCCUGGAUCCCAAUUCCAGGGGCUGGAUCCAAACUCCCAGCCCUGGAUCCCAGUUCCUGGCCCUGAUCCCAGUUCCCAUGCCUGGAUCCCCAAUUCCCGUGCCCAGAUCCCAACUCCUGGGCCCAGAUCCCAAUUCUUGGGCCUGGAUCCCAAUUCCCAGCUCCAGAUCCCAAUUCCAAGUUCCAGAUCCCAACUCCCAGCUCUGGAUUCCAACUCCCAUGCCCAGAUUCCAAUUCCCAUUCCUGGAUCCCAAUUCCCAUCCCCAGAUCCCAAUUCCCAUGCCCAGAUCCCAACUCCCAUGUCCAGAUCCCCAUUCCCAUUCCCGGAUCCCCAUUCCCAUUCCUGGAUCCCAAUUCCCAUGCCCAGAUCCCCAUUCCCGGAUCCCGGUUCCGUCGCUCCCCAAAAACCGGAGCAGGCGUUGGAGCCGUGGUUUAUCGAGAGAGAUCUGAUCUGA